CCGCUUGAUGCUUUUAUCCCCCCAAACACAUACUCGCACUGCCCACCUCCGCUUACGCACACAUACACAGGUCAGCGCAUACACUUUACAUUAAAAAAAUAAAUAAAUACGAAUCACCCAUCCCAAUUGUUUGGCUAUCUACUGGUCUCCUUGCCCUCUGUUUGUCCCGGUGCUGUAGGAAGUGGCUCGCUGGGUGACUUUUGUGAUGUGAAAUGAAAGGGAAGGUUUGCAUUUGCUGUAGUAAAACCAUCAGGGCAACCAUUUAGGUGCCCAAGAUGACAUAUGACAGAAAGAAAGACGCCACCACACAAAGGUGUGUAUGUGUGCCGGGCCAGAGGUGAGCCUGAAUGUCUCUCGUCAGCCUAGAGUUCUCUCGGCAGGCCUGACCCGUGGAGUCAUUAUCCCUCCAGGUAAAUCAUCUCGCAAUCAGUGUGUCUGAAGCCCCCUGCUCUCCAGAUGAUUCCCCUGCUGAUUGGCCUAACUGGACUCCUGUCUGAGGAACGAUUACCCUUGCAUUGUUUUCUUUAUGGCACAUAGAUUGAGCUGUUGUUAGCAUUCGCUUGCAGGGAGGAGGCAGUGUGUGUGAGGCCGGGAUGUGAGGAUGUGCUCUGAGGUCGCUCUCUCUGCGCUUGAUAAGAGUAACAGGAAAAGCAUAGGUCAAUGAUGGCAAAGUUACACCUCUAUUUUUAAAUGCACUGAGCUCAACAAAACAGGGACACUAAGCCCCCCUCUAACUGGGAUCAACUGUCUGCCUGCACGGUGGACGAGCUGCGUCCUGCCCACUGCACCCAAUUCACAGAGAAAUGUACUCAAAUCUUACAGGUCCUGAAACAGGACUGAAACCGGAACAGACCUGAAUAUUCAGUUACAGAUGCAUUUUCAUGCGAUUGUCCAAAAGGGGGGCAAGAAGCUGUAAAUGAUAUGCCAUGAGGAGAUCAUAUUAAUAUAACACACACACAAGCAUACCAUCACACAAACAAACACACACAGACACACUCAAAAUAAUCUCCCAGUACUUGGGUUGCAUUCCCACAAGAGUCACACCCAGUCAGAACAGUAAUAUGAGAGCGUGUUUCACAGGGUCACUGCAUGCAUGGAAAUGACAGGACGCUCCGAGGUGGAAAACACACCGAUCGAUAUCUCCUCCACCAAACUCAGUGUGUUUGAUUCUUGAGUUCGAUUCAGAGCGAUAGCGAAUCUGAAGCACCCAGGGCAAGUCCCCGAAACAGACGGCCUCGGCAGUUCGCCUGAGCGCUGGCACUCUGAAAGGGACAGCAAUAUCCACUGAUGUAAUGUGAGAGAUAGUGAUCUUUUAUGUGCUGCUUUAUAACUUGUGGGCGUAAUGUGAGUUUGGGGGGCGUGAGGGGGUGAUGAAGCAGUGUCGCUGGAAUCUGCAGUGUUGUGAGAGCUUCAUACCUUUCAGCUUCAUUAAACCAAUUUCACGCCGAGGUGAGCUAAGAGAGGAAACUCUGGGUCUCUGCCGCCGUAACAAUGGCGCAUUGAAGGGACGAGGCGAAAGUAAAUUAGGUACCACUUCACAGACGGCAAAUUAAAAUCUGAAAGUUGGAUAGGAAAAGUUGAGGGGGAGAUGAUUAUGUCUUUAUUGUGCUGCUCUCAAUCUAAAAAACCCUACCCAUCCUUUUAGCAACCACCUUUGCCCCCCACCCCCCAAGCCUCUCUGCUCAGAAGAAAUAAUGAUCUAUUUCUUGUGUGGUAAUUGGUUUCUAAGAUGCCCUUGCCAUAAAAAAGCACAGAUUUUGAAUCGUGAAGCUACUCUUAGCCUUCCUUUCAAUCACGUAAUUUGGUUCUUAUCAGUGAGAUAUGAUAUCCUGAGAGAAUCGUAUAAAUUAAACAUUAGUGUGAGUGCUUAUUUUUUUACUGUCAUUUUCAUGUCCAGAGGUGCUCAGAGGUUUGAUGUCUGUCAGGGCCUUUGCGUUAGAACCGAUUCUUCAUGUCCUUUAAUUUUAAGACACUGUCAAUUAAAUUAAAGA